AAGUCGUAACAAGGUUUCCGUAGGUGAACCUGCGGAAGGAUCAUUACCGAGAGAGGGGCUUCGGGCUCCGGGGGGUUUCGGCCCCCGACUCUUCACCCGUUGCAUAUCGUACCUUUGUUGCUUUGGCGGACCCCGGGUCGCCCCGCGCUGGUUUUUCGGGCCGGCGAGUGUCCGUCAGAGGCCCAUUACAUUCUGUUUAUUAGAGGACGUCCGGUAUAAACCACAAAAUAAAAA
rnacentral:misc_RNA from 1 species